GCAGGAGGAAUCCCACUUGUCGGGCAGAAGGAGGACUGGUCGGGCAUCUCAGCAUGGCAAGGAAACUGAGGCCCAGGAAGGUGACUUGUCCAAAGAUCACACAAUUAGCUGGGAGCCGAGCUCAGCUUGGAACCCAAGUGGGCCAGCCUCCAAUUCCACACUCUUUCCCCUUCGACACAGUUUGCAGUACUCAGGCUACACAGGGUUCGAUCCAUUGCUUCUCGUGAUGGAACCCCAGUCAAUACACAGACGGGCCACAAAUAAUGCAGCCUCCCAGGGAAUAGAAGAAGAAAAACAGAAUAAGAAAGAGCUGGGGUUUUUUAUGGGUUGUCGACUGACCUCUCUUGAAAUCAAUAACUCCCAAGGUUUGCAAAAUGGGAUUGAAUGCU